UACGUAGGGCGCAAGCGUUGUCCGGAAUUAUUGGGCGUAAAGCGCGCGCAGGCGGUCCUUUAAGUCUGAUGUGAAAGCCCACGGCUCAACCGUGGAGGGUCAUUGGAAACUGGGGGACUUGAGUGCAGAAGAGGAGAGUGGAAUUCCACGUGUAGCGGUGAAAUGCGUAGAGAUGUGGAGGAACACCAGUGGCGAAGGCGACUCUCUGGUCUGUAACUGACGCUGAGGCGCGAAAGCGUGGGGAGCAAACAGG
rnacentral:rRNA from 1 species